CAGAGGGGCAAGCGUUGUUCGGAAUUACUGGGCGUAAAGGGCGCGUAGGCGGCCUUCUAAGUCGAACGUGAAAUCCCAGGGCUCAACCCGGGAACUGCGUCCGAUACUGGAAGGCUUGAAUCCGGGAGAGGGAUGCGGAAUUCCAGGUGUAGCGGUGAAAUGCGUAGAUAUCUGGAGGAACACCGGUGGCGAAGGCGGCAUCCUGGACCGGCAUUGACGCUGAGGCGCGAAAGCUAGGGGAGCAAACGGGAUUAGAUACCCCGGUAGUCCUAGCCCUAAACGAUGAAUGCUUGGUGUGGCGGGUAUCGAUCCCUGCCGUGCCGAAGCUAACGCAUUAAGCAUUCCGCCUGGGGAGUACGGUCGCAAGGCUG
rnacentral:rRNA from 1 species